CCUACGGGGGGCAGCAGUGAGGAAUAUUGGUCAAUGGACGAGAGUCUGAACCAGCCAAGUAGCGUGAAGGAUGACUGCCCUAUGGGUUGUAAACUUCUUUUAUAUGGGAAUAAAAUGUUCCACGUGUGGGAUUUUGUAUGUACCAUAUGAAUAAGGAUCGGCUAACUCCGUGCCAGCAGCCGCGGUAAUACGGAGGGUCCGAGCGUUAUCCGGAUUUAUUGGGUUUAAAGGGAGCGUAGGUGGAUUGUUAAGUCAGUUGUGAAAGUUUGCGGCUCAACCGUAAAAUUGCAGUUGAAACUGGCAGUCUUGAGUACAGUAGAGGUGGGCGGAAUUCGUGGUGUAGCGGUGAAAUGCUUAGAUAUCACGAAGAACUCCGAUUGCGAAGGCAGUUCACUGGACUGCAACUGACACUGAGGCUCGAAAGUGUGGGUAUCAAACAGGAUUAGAUACCCUUGUAGUC
rnacentral:rRNA from 1 species